rnacentral:rRNA from 1 species
UACGUAGGGAGCAAGCGUUGUUCGGAAUUAUUGGGCGUAAAGAGCGCGUAGGCGGCUUGGUAAGUCUGAUGUGAAAUCCCGGAGCUUAACUCCGGAACUGCAUUGGAAACUGCCAGGCUUGAGUGUGGGAGAGGAGAGUGGAAUUCCCAGUGUAGAGGUGAAAUUCGUAGAUAUUGGGAGGAACACCGGUGGCGAAGGCGGCUCUCUGGACCACAACUGACGCUGAGGCGCGAAAGCUAGGGGAGCAAACGGG